GUGCCAGCCGCCGCGGUAAUACGUAGGGGGCGAACGUUGCUCGGAAUUACUGGGCGUAAAGGGUGUGUAGGUGGCUGAGCAAGUCGAAGAUGAAAUCCCAGGGCUCAACCCUGGAAUUGUCUUUGAUACUGUUCAGCUUGAGGGUGGUCGAGGAAGACGGAAUUCCCGGUGGAGCGGUGAAAUGCGUAGAUAUCGGGAGGAACACCGGAGGCGAAGGCGGUCUUCUGGGCCACUCCUGACACUGAGGCACGAAAGCUAGGGGAGCGAACGGGAUUAGAUACCCCGGUAGUCCUAGCCGUAAACGAUGGGCACUAGAUGUUCCCACAUUUUGUGGGAGUGUCGAAGCUAACGCGUUAAGUGCCCCGCCUGGGGACUACGGCCGCAAGGCUAAAACUCAAAGGAAUUGACGGGG
rnacentral:rRNA from 1 species